rnacentral:misc_RNA from 1 species
UCCUCGUUGCAGGGUUGGCUUAUUGUUCUCCUCGUCUCCUCUUGUGUUGUUUGAGUCGCCUGGUAAAGUCUCUCUACCGUUUUUUUUCUGUUCCUUGCUUGACUUCUGUUAUUUCUGGCGAGCGCUUCGGCCAUUGCUCCUCCUCCUCUACCCUGCCUCUCCCUCACUCAGUCUCUCUUUCUCUGUGAGUGUGUGUGCGCCGUCGCUGCGGUGGUGGCUGCUGCUGGCGUCUCUCACGCGUUUAGGUUUGCUUGAUAGGAAGCGGAGGCGGUCGGCGCUGUCGUCCGGUGGAGCGAGACGUAGCUGGACAUAAAGGGACACUUCAUCUCUCAUCUCUUUUUUUUUCGUCGCUUCUGUGGCUUUUCGCGUGAUAUCAAGCGACGAGGCACUGACGAGAGCACACACACACACACACGUACAUACUCGCAGUCACGCACAGGAGGCCGCACACUCGUUGCUGAAAAGCCCUGAUGCGACUGAAGAACACGGCGCUAUGCUGCGCGUUUGCGUGGUCGCCGGCGGUGUUGGGCAACCCGCCCCUCCUCGCCACCGCGUCUUACAGCGGUGCCAUGGACGAGAACUUCAGCAGCGACGCCUUUCUUGAGAUUCGCCUCGUGGACGUGAAGGUGACGGACGACACGGAGCUGCCUGUUGUCGGGCGUGUGCGGCUGCCGGAUCGCGCACAUCGCGUCGACUGGUCUCCGUACGCCGGGCCGCAGGGCAUCAUCGGUGUCUCGUGCGGCAACGGCUGUGUAUACAUCUUCUCCGCUGCAGAGGUGCUCGCCGCCGGCCCGAAUGGCGGCGGCGAGGAGGUGAGUGAUCACCCGCGCGGACUGCUGUGGAUGGUGCGCGAGCACGCGGGCUCGGCCGUGCGCGGUUUCCACUUCAACCCUUCGAAGCCGCACUUUUUCGCCACCGGCGCCGACGAUGGCGUGUGGCGUGUGUGGACGCUUCAGGAUGGCGCCACCGGCGGUGUGUGUGCGCCAACGAAGGUGGCUGUCAUCUCGAACGUGCCGAACAGCGGCGCCAUUGUCCACCUUCAGUGGCACCCCAAAUACGCCCACAUCUUUGCCACAGCCACCGUGAACGGCGUGGUGAACGUGUGGAACCUGAAGAUGGCCACCCGCGUGACGGCGCUGAACGUGUCCAAGGCAUCACACGGGGCACAGAUCACCGCCAUCGCUUGGAACCCGACGGCUGCGACGCAGCUCGUUGUUGGACUCGACGACGGACAUCCAGUGUUGCAGGUGUGGGACCUUCGCACCGGGGUGGUGCCGCUGCGCGAGAUGAGCGGACAUACCGGCGGCAUCACCGGCCUCGCUUGGAGCGAGCAGGAGUCGUCGAUGGUGGCAUCAUGCGGCGGUGAUGGCCGCACCAUGUGGUGGGACCCGAACACUGGCAAGAAGCUGGGUGAGCUACAGCCAGUGGGGCAGUACCUCGUCGACGUGCAGUGGUGCCCGGUACUGCCGGCCGUCAUCGCGACGUCGUCUUUUGCACCGCUUCUAUGCGUGUCGACGGCGCAGGACGUCUCCAGCACCGGUGGCGACAAGCUCGGUGCGGUGCCCAAGUGGCUCAACAAACCGUGCGGCGCCUCGGUCAACAUGUCCCUCGCCGUUGCCUCCCUCGCCCCUGGCACCGAGCAUGACAUUGUGCUUUCGAGCCUGAACUGCGUGCCAAUGAGCCCGCACACGACGGAGGACCAGCGCAUGUUCGAGCGGCUGGCCGAGUUCCCGCGCGGGUCGCCGGAGCGGACGCAGUGGCUGCGCGACACCCAUCAUGAGCUCCUUGCGGCCUUCUCCAGCGCGCAGAACUCGCGCCAACCCAUACUUGACUUCCUCAACGAGGGCGUCGCCUCCGAGAAAGGCGGCGCGGGCGCUGGCUCCGGGAGGCCGGGCGAGGAGGACGAUGACCCAUUCACCGCCAUCUCGCACGAGAACCAGAAGAGGUACGAGGACCGCACCUCGGAGCUCAUCGUGAGCGGCAAGAUCGAGGAGGCCGUGGACCUGUGCAUGGACGAGCAUUGCUUCGACGACGCGUUUGCCAUCGCCUUCCUCAGCGGCGGGGAGAUGGUGCGCAAGGUGCACCAGCGCUACAUCGCGCAUGUCGCCGCCGUCAGCCCGCAAAAGAGGCAUGUGCUCUACGCUGGUGCCAUCGCCUCCGGUGAUUUCCGCCCUCUUAUUCAGGCCAACGUGCCGUGGAAGGAGGUGCUUUCUGCGAUUGUGGCGUUCGUCGUGGGCGACGGCUUCGCCGACGCGUGCAAUCUGCUCGGUGACGCGCUGCGCGGCCAGCAGAACUAUGAGGGCUCCUACCACUGCUACGUUUGCGCACGCAACGUGGACGCUGUGGUGGACCUCUGGCGCCUCGAGAACCGCCCCUCGCGUGAAGUUGUGCAGGAUACAAUUCUGCUAGAGGAGACCACGCAGCGCGCGGCGAGCGGCGAGUACCUGGCGCACUGCAUGUGCGAAUACGGCGUGAAGCUGCUGACUGAUGGGCAUCCGAAGGAGGCGGUGCGGUACCUACAGCGUGCCGCCCGCCUCGGUGAUCACACGGCCACGGUGCUUGUCGAUCGCAUGAAAUACCUCUUUAAUCUUGCCCAGCCCGAGAACGGUGCACCGUACGUGCCGGCGCCGGUGUCUGACGCGCAGAGCCCGGCAUGUCAAGCGUUCCUGGCCGCUGCGGAAGAGCGACGAGUGCGGGAGCUGCAGGAGCAGAAGCAGGCGCAGGCACAGGCACAACCGAUAGCCCCGCAGCAGCAGCAGCAUCAGCUGGAGCGGCCACCGAUGCCGAGCCACGGCACUCCGCAGCCACCGGCAAUGCCGCCACAGACGCAGUACCACGUGAACCCCAUGGCGAUACCAGGGCAACCGCAGCCGCCGCAGUCUGGCUACCUGCCAGCCGCUGGCUACAUGCCGCCCAUGGGUGCACCGGCGGCGGCUUCGCAGCCGCCACAGCAGCCUCAGCACCCACCAAGCCUUCUUCCCCACAAAUCAGCCACCGGCGGACUCCCGCCACCACCGGGUGGUAGCGCGCCUCUGCGACCGCCACUGAUGCCUGGUGCCGGUGCCGCGCCACCACCGCCGUCGCACGGGCCGUCUGUGUACGGCAACGCGACACCGGUGAGCAAUAGCGUGAACGGUGCUCCUGUAGCGGCGUCGCCGAUCGGGCCGCACGCACCGCCCGCUGGCGGUGCCUCGAUGGGGAUGAGUGCAUCGGACACCAGCCCGUUCUCCCCGAGCGCACUCCCGCCCAGCCGCACAAACCCGCUCCCGGCUGCACCGAACGGAGUUGUCGGCCAGCCGAAGCCGCGACUUAUGCCGCACCCAGUUUCUUCCUACUCAUCGAUGCGAACGCCGACCACUGGCGCCGCCCCAGUCGCCGCUGCACCUCCUCCGCCGGGACCGCCGUCGUCUUCCGGCGCUAUGGCCUCCCAGGCGUCAUCGCAGCCGGGGUCGUUGUACAGCGUGACGGCCCCACCGACACAGCCGCCAGCGACACAGUCGUCACCCUACCAAAAAGGGCCACCACCACCGUCGCAGCGCUCAGAUGCCGUUUUCGGCGGAGGUGCGCCAUCGAUGAUGAAGCCGCAGCCCCCGCCGCCUGUCCUUCCGCGGCCCGCGAUGGGCAGCGCACCGCCACCGCCGCCUCAGUCAUCGGCUUCCGGCGCCGAGUACCCAGCCUCCUUGCUCGCUUCCGUGAGUCCUGCCCAGUUCGCGUCCCCGCUGCACGGUCAGCUGGUGCAGCGUCUGCAGCAGAUCAUCCCCGCCAUCGCGGACCCACGCCGGCGCACGGCGGUGGAGCAGGCGGCGGUGGAGGUGAUUCGCCAGCUGCAGCAAGGGAUGCUGCCGGAGGAGCUCGUGCACAUGUUGGUACACUUUUGCGCGAACGCCGGCACGCCGAGCGCGACUCAGGCGUGGACGCAGUUGGCGCAGCGGUACGCGGGUGCCGUUCAGGCCUUUGCGAACCUUUCCUAUCUGUGAGCAGCGCGCCGGCUCGUCUUACCACGCCGCCCCCACUCCUCCUGCCUCUGCGUUUUAUAUGCGGCAAGUCUGUGCCUUUGUCGUGCAGUGUCGGCGUAUUUACAGCUGUUGACGAGGAGGCUGCAGCGCGUAUGAGUAUGGACGCGCUCUGGAGAAGGCUGAACUCGGGCGGAAGAGUCACGUGUUUUUUUUUGUGGGGGGGCGGGGGCGUGCGAGGGAGGAAGGCAAAGAACGCUCUGUGGCUGCAGAGCUCUUUUUCUGCCGUCUCCGGACUUCUCAUACCUGCGGCCGUCUUAUCCUUCUCUGCUCUGACGGCAACCGCACAAGCUCAAACACAGACAAGCCUACGCGCGCACUUGAUCGCUGCACAGCUGCUCAGCGCGUGGAGCGCUAAUACGCUGUGCUCGAUGUCUGUGUGUGCGUGUGUGUGCGUGUGUCUGGGCUUGCGCUCUCCGUGUGACUCGGCGUGUUGAUGUGUGCUCCCUCGCCUCACUGUCUCUCAGGCCCUCUUCUUUGUUUUUUUUUCCCAUUAUCAGUGCUCAUUUUCCCCCGCCUCUCUGUCUGUCGCAUGCGUGUUGUGUGUGCACGUGCGUGACGGUGUGCGCAUGCACAUGAGCCUUAUGGGCUGCAUCGUUCAUGCGCACGGAAGGCUUUUCUCUCCGUCGAUGCAUAUAUACAUGUAUCUGUGUCUAUGUAUCUUUUUGGGCUUUCGUGGGUGGUGGUGGUGGUGAUGGUGCCGCGUUAAGAGCUAUCCAUUUCGUUUUUUUUUUGGAGUCGUUUCGUUCUCGAUCUGUGUUUUGGUAUGCACGUGUCGCGCUCAGCGAGAGAGCCCUGUCGCCCAGUGUGCAUGGGCGAAACCUGUAGCUCAGCAGGGCAAAAGGAAGAAAAAAAAGUAACGCGUGCCUGCGCGUCGGCUUACGUGUGCGCGUGCGUGACACCUCUCCAAACUUUGUGGAAGAGAUCGAUGCGCGGAGGUGUUGCGGCCUGACGACGCUUGCGUGUUGUUGUCUUUUGUCGUUUGCUGCUUGACCUUUGCGCUUAGCUGAGGGUGUGUCGUGCUGCUGCGAUCUCACACGCUCUCCCUCCCCCUCCCCCCAACGGCUCGAUGUGACGGGUCUCAUCAGCGCUCUUUCCCUCCUUCUUUCCUUUCUUCGCUUGUUUCGUCGCUCCUCGGUGGCGAUUAUUCUUUGCCGUUGUCGCGCUGUUUUUGGAGGUUGGCGUGCGCGUUUCUGUGUGCUCGGGUGUACUCGCUGCGCGUUGGAUGUUGGUUUCAUAUCCCGCACCCGCCCCCCUCUUUCUUCCUUCUCCAUCGAUGCCCGCGUUUCUGCCGCUGGCUGCAGCAGUGUAUUGUGUAUGUGUGUGUGUGUCGUCAUUUUGCGCGCCGUGCCCGUCACCGGCGGUCCACCUACGCCCCCACCCACGGUGCGGUCGCUUUCACGGGCAGCUGUGUGGACUGCGCGCACACAGGUGUGUUUCCUCGUUUUGGGCAGGUGGUGGCUUUAGCAACAAGAAGCAAACAGAAAGGAAAAAAUGAAACCAACACGGUAGUAGGGAGAGGGAGGGGGGGCUACAUCACUGAGUGACAGGCGGCAAGGAUGUCGUAUCAGGCGGCCAUCACGGUAUCAUUCGCCUGCCUUUGAGAGGUUGGAACGUAUGUCGUAAAAGCAGAGAGGCAGCUGCGCUUGAUCGGGGCCAUUUUCAGCCCUGGUGUUGGUGUACGGGUGCCUAUGCGAGACCUCGCACUGUUUUGAACCUUGGCCAACCUCUCCGACGCUGUUCCUGCUUCUUGUGUUAGCGGCGUGGGCACAUGCUGCGUACUGUUCUGUAGAGCGGUGAGGCGCUGCGCUGCGCCUCCCUCUGCACUACCGUCUCUGUCUGUCUGGUUGUUGCCCUUCCGUCGUCCUUUGAGCGAUU